UUAUCCGGAAUCACUGGGCGUAAAGCGUCUGUAGGUGGUUUAGUAAGUCUAUUGUUAAAUCUUGAGGCUCAACUUCAAAUCAGCGAUGGAAACUGCUAGACUAGAGUGUGGUAGAGGUAAGAGGAAUUCCCAGUGGAGCGGUGAAAUGCGUAGAUAUUGGAAAGAACACCGAUGGCGAAGGCAUCUUACUGGGCCAUAACUGACACUCAGAAACGAAAGCUAGGGUAGCAAAUGGGAUUAGAUACCCCAGUAGUUCUAGCAGUAAACGAUGGAUACUAGAUGUUGCCCGUAUCAACCCGUGCAGUGUCAAAGCUAACGCGUUAAGUAUCCCGCCUGGGAAGUAUGCACGCAAGUGUGAAACUCAAAGGAAUUGACGGGGGCCCGCACAAGCGGUGGAGCAUGUGGUUUAAUUUGAUGCAACGCGAAGAACCUUACCAGGGUUUGACAUGACAUGAAUUUUUCUGAGAAGAAAAAGUGCCUUUUAGGAACAUGUACACAGGUGGUGCAUGGCUGUCGUCAGCUCGUGUCGUGAGAUGUUGGGUUAAGUCCCGCAACGAGCGCAACCCUUGUUUUUAGUUAUUUUUCUAGAAAGACUGCCGGUUAUAAGCCGGAGGAAGGCGGGGACGACGUCAAGUCAGCAUGCCCCUUAUACCCUGGGCUACACACGUGCUACAUUGGGUAAGACAAUGAGUCGCGAGCCUGUGAAGGUCAGCAAAUCUAUAAACUUACUCUAAGUUCGGAUUGUAGGCUGCAA
rnacentral:rRNA from 1 species